rnacentral:rRNA from 1 species
UACGAAGGGGGCUAGCGUUGCUCGGAAUUACUGGGCGUAAAGCGCACGUAGGCGGGUCAUUAAGUCGGGGGUGAAAUCCUGGAGCUCAACUCCAGAACUGCCUUCGAAACUGAUGAUCUUGAGUUCGGGAGAGGUGAGUGGAACUGCGAGUGUAGAGGUGAAAUUCGUAGAUAUUCGCAAGAACACCAGUGGCGAAGGCGGCAUCCUGGACCAUUACUGACGCUGAGGCGCGAAAGCUAGGGGAGCAAACGGG